ensembl:lncRNA
GAGAGGAACAGAACAAAACAAAACAAACAACGCGCUCAUCCACAACAUCGAUAAGUUCUAAUCUCAGAGGCCAGAGCAGUGUGAAUGGAAAAUUAGAAGGAAGUAGAAGGUGUAAUUCCAGAACACUGGAUCAAAGUGUGUGGCGGCCCCCAAAUAAAUAUGACAAAGCAGUAAAGGAUUGGUACACACCCUCUCUGAAAUGGAAGUCCUUUCAGCUUCUGAGGAUAAAACUCACAUCAGAAUCAAAACAACAUUGGGAAGACGUCGAAAUUACUGAAGCCAGUGAAGUGGAGAUGUCCAAGAGAAACCGAACUGGCAAAGGUCUACCCAAGCUCCCACCAAAAUAUUCCCCAAAGCACCAGAAAACCUGUGCCACCGCUACCAAGAAGCAAAAAGCUAAUACGCAGCACAAACCACCAAAUACAGAAUCUCAAAGCUGGGGGGAGAGACAUCCCAGACUGGGUGAAGUGAGCAAUGCACCGAACCCUGAUAACCGGCCUCAUGUCAUCGAAGAAUAUGAAAGGGAAGAGGGCCUUUGAGAACUCCAACCUUUGCAGACAUUAUAGCAGGUGAAAGUCUUUGCGAAUCAAUGCUACAGAGGCAAACAUAGUACAGGCAAUGCCAACCUGCCUGAAAUAUGCACCUAACCGCAAGGGAGGCAGUGGGAGGGCCAAUGAGUAAGGGAAUGGAAGAGCUAAAGAUGUUAAGAGCAUCAAGCCUGUUCCAACAGCACUUUUUUUUGUUUAUUAUACACUACCGUUCAAAAGUUAGGGGUCACUUAGAAAUGUCCUUGUUUUUGAAAGAUGGCUGAUUUAUGUUAAAUGGAACAUCUACAUAGGCUUACAAAGGCCCAUUAUCAGCAACCAUCACUCCUGUGUUCCAGGAGUGCCCGCAACACACUGCAUUGUUGACAAUCCCUGUUGAAUUCAUGGUGUGUUUUGAUCAAAUCAGAUCACAAUGUGUUCUUAACCUCACUCCAAUAUUUAAAUGUAGUUGAUUAUUAGUUGGGAACUGUUUUCAAACUUGAUAGUAAUGAAAUAAAAAUAACUAUUGGCUGUGUUUUUG